GAUCUCGUGUUAACUUGAGGUGGAAAUGUGUGGCAUGUUGAGGUUUCUCCACUUCUACUCUGUCCUUACCUUUGCUGGAAAAUUGAGUCUCAUCAGCUGGGGAACAGAAACAAGAGGACAUGGCAAGUCCCAACCUGCCAAUGCAACUAGAGCAUUAGUUAAAAAUGUUCUGAAACCCAUGCAGAGAGUAAAAAUAAACCCCAGCUUAUCUCUCUGCUUGCUUUAGACAUUAAGAAUAUGUUGUGGACCAGACAUCUACUCAGAGAUGUCCUGGAGCAGAGAGCAAUGCUUCCUUUCUGGACAGAUGGACAGCUUACUUCUGACAUCCACGUCUGGGAAAAACUCAGCUAUAUGUAAGUGCAGAAGCAUGUCUCUGUGAAACAUUGACAUUUUCGGGUAGGCUGAGUACUCUGCAAUGAAAUCCAAGAUACAGAGCAGUCCGUGGGUGGCCUCUGACAAAUUUUAAUGGUCUUUGGAAUAGGGCCCAAGCAUAUCACAAAGAGCGGGAGAAUGAGGCUUUGGUUUAGCCAAAACUCUGAGCAUGUGGUUAACCAUUGAAAUUAAUGAGAAUUAAACAUAUAAUUGAGUCUUCUGCUGACCCUUUCCUUAACCACUAAGUAAAAAAUACUGUCCUGCAGACACUCUGCUUAAAAGGGGGAUAUGCCUUUUAUAUGCCAAAGGGGGCACAUGGUAUUUAAAACAGCAGAGUCACUUGAUUUUCUAGUGACAUAGAAAAAGCAGAAUUUGUCCCCGUGUCCUUUGGAACAAGGAAACUUCAAAUUAUUACUAGGUGCAUCUUCUCACUGCAUCAUUUUGCAUGAUGCAGGUUAAUGGCUGCCUGCUAGGAAAGAUACCUUCCCUGCUUCAGUCAUCUAACAGGAUUCUUGGCAUUCAGCUCAUCAGAGGGGUUAUUUUCUUUAACCAUAUUUCUGUAGGAAUGCAUCUUUCAAGUAUCCUGCUGCAUUAUUUUGAUGCAACCUUCGUAUCUUUUCAGCUUAUUGUUUCUGCAAUUCCUUUUCUCUGUAUAUCAAACAAUGUUGCUGGGUGUGCUUUUUCUAACAAAUCUUCAAGGAAGAUUAGGGGAAAAAAAAGCUAAUAUAUCUUAUAGCUUGAAAAUUUCAGGGUCAAAACAGAUUUUAAGUGUUGAUCUUCUUGCACUCGCUGAUGAAUCUUUUUGACCAAGCAGCUGGUGUAUCAGAUCUAGCUGGCAGCACACAGAGCACAUUAGGAAAACAAAGAGAAUGUGAGAUUAAGCUGAAAAGAGGCAAGAGAGGCAUUUUCUCACUGUUCUGCAUGAAGGCAGAAGAUGCUUCGAGAGGAUACAGCCUCGAUUUUUAUUGGAGCUAUGGCCUCUUCCCCCCCAUCAGAUUAUUCAAAGGCAACAUCACUGAAGUCAAGUGAGAACAGAAUACCUCUAAGUCUCCUUCUGUCCAGCUCCCUGCUCCUGACAGCAUCCAGCACCCAGACAAGGCAGCCUGUUGAAGCCAUCCUCUGUCUCUGAUCUGGGACAGCCUGUGGGUAUGAUGGUGACAAAGACCUCGUUAUCAUGUUCCUGCAGUUCCAAGGUCACCAUCAGAAACUCUACCACUGGAGAAUGC